GACGAACGCUGGCGGCGUGCUUAACACAUGCAAGUCGAGCGGAAAGGCCCUGCUUUUGUGGGGUGCUCGAGUGGCGAACGGGUGAGUAACACGUGAGUAACCUGCCCUUGACUUUGGGAUAACUUCAGGAAACUGGGGCUAAUACCGGAUAGGAGCUCCUGCUGCAUGGGGGGGGUUGGAAAGUUUCGGCGGUUGGGGAUGGACUCGGGGCUUAUCAGCUUGUGGGUGGGGUAGUGGCUUACCAAGGCUUUGACGGGUAGCCGGCCUGAGAGGGUGACCGGCCACAUUGGGACUGAGAUACGGCCCAGACUCCUACGGGAGGCAGCAGUGGGGAAUAUUGCACAAUGGGCGGAAGCCUGAUGCAGCAACGCCGCGUGCGGGAUGACGGCCUUCGGGUUGUAAACCGCUUUCGCCUGUGACGAAGCGUGAGUGACGGUAAUGGGUAAAGAAGCACCGGCUAACUACGUG
rnacentral:rRNA from 1 species